rnacentral:rRNA from 1 species
UACGUAGGGGGCGAGCGUUGUCCGGAUUUACUGGGCGUAAAGAGCGCGUAGGCGGUCGGGUAGGUUGGUUGUGAAAGCUGCGGGCUUAACCCGCAAGGGUCAACCAAAACCACUCGACUUCGAGGGCAGUAGAGGAAGGUGGAAUUCCGGGUGUAGUGGUGAAAUGCGUAGAGAUCCGGAGGAACACCGGCGGCGAAGGCGGCCUUCUGGGCUGGCCCUGACGCUGAGGCGCGAAAGCGUGGGGAGCGAACUGA